UAAAACCCCUGCAAAUUACAUAUGAAACAAGUUUAAGAGGACUUUGAGAGAUGAAGAAAAGCAGGCAGACCAGCCAGGGACCUUGCAGCCUGAAGAAGGACAGGAAGGAAAUUCAAAAACUUGGGACUUCAUAAGCCUUGAUGGUUUGCAUGUUCCUAUAAAGGAAUGCCUAUUAUUUCUUCAGAAGAAGAUAUUACACAUAAAAUGAGACAGCAAUUAAGAAGAACAAUUUCCUGAAUGAAAAUGUUCUAUCUUCUUUUGCCAAAUUACAUUUGGAAGUCUUCUGGUACUGACAUAAACUGUAAUGUUCUUUGGAGCAAUUCAGGCAUAACUAUGGAAUCAGAGGGUGGAGAUAAGUUAUAGGUGUAGAGAUAUAUUAUCACAACAUAUGAGAUAAUUUGGAGUAUCUCAGGCACUUAAUCCAAGUAAUAAUUAACUCUUUCAGCUUAUUUCUAUUUUACUUUACAUUCUCCUAUUUUGGGAGAGGACAAAAUGAUUUCUUUGCAAGGAAUCAGUACUUCUGCAUUUUGAUCUUGAUUCUUCUAUGCAAACUUUCAAAUGACUCUCUAAUAUUGUGUUUAUAGUCUAGUGUAAUACCUGUGUGAAAUGAAUUAAGAAGAUGAACAUAUUUAUAUGAAAAAUACACACAAAAUAUUACACUUACUGAUAUAACAAGGACACAAUUUGGUUAUAGGUAGCAAUCAGCUAUUCCAUUAUCAGUGAAAUAAGGGAAAAUAGGGAGGUCUUAAGUCUUAUCUCACCAAUACUAACUUUGUAUAAACCAGUGACAAUUUUCUUACUAAUUUUUUACCUUACUUUUUCACCUAUGUGUAAGGAUAAUGUCUGGCUGGUCUUGAACUCCUGACCUCAA
rnacentral:lncRNA from 10 species